UCGCACAGACGUUAGUGGGUUAAACUCCACAUACGCAGCCAUCUCACAAACCUUUUGCGAAACAUUUCAAACCCAUCAAACAACUAAUGAUCCACCAUCUUCAAACCAACCGUUACCUCCACCAGAUGUGUAGUGCGAAGAAUUUAGUUGCUUCAUUAAGUGAAAUUAACAAAACUCGCUACGUUUCACUUAAUAUCCCACAUCCAAUGUUCAAUAGUUUAGACACCGACAGUUCUAUGUCAACCCAAACGAAAAACGAUUAAUCAGAAUGUAAGUGAACUAUCGAAACAUGUAACCCACACAAUAAUGAUUCCCAUAAUUACAGUAUCCCCUGAAGAAGACUCUAAUACGAGUCGAAACGUUGGGAAAAAUCUAAAA